rnacentral:rRNA from 1 species
CACGUAGGGCGCAAGCGUUGUCCGGAAUUAUUGGGCGUAAAGAGCUCGUAGGCGGUCUGUUGCGUCCGCUGUGAAAACUCGGGGCUUAACCCCGAGCCUGCAGUGGAUACGGGCAGACUAGAGGUAGGUAGGGGAGAAUAGAAUUCCCGGUGUAGCGGUGAAAUGCGCAGAUAUCGGGAGGAACACCGGUGGCGACGGCGGUUCUCUGGGCCUUACCUGACGCUGAGGAGCGAAAGCGUGGGGAGCGAACAGG